rnacentral:tRNA from 1 species
GCCGGCGUAGCUCAGUGGUAGAGCAGCUGAUUCGUAAUCAGCUGGUCGUCUGUUCAAAUCAGAUCGCCGGCUCCA